CAAAAUGUCCCCCUAUUCCCUACCUAGUGGUCUAAAGUAGUGCGCUAUGUAGGGAAUAGGGUGUCCUAUGGGAUGCACCCAGACGGGACCACCUGUAUGUAAAAUGUGGAUAAAAGCGUUGUGUUUUAAAUAUGAUUAUGUGAUUAUAUAUUAGAGUAUUGAAGAUGCAGGUAACUGAAUAAAGGAAACACCAACAUCAAGUGUUUUUAACAGGACGUUGGACGACCAGGAGCCAGAACAGCUUCGAUGCUCCUUGGUUGGUCCGUUACAGGCCCCUCAGAACAGCUUCGAUGCUCCUUGGUCGGUCCGUUACAGGCCCCUCAGAACAGCUUCGGUGCUCCUUGGUUGGUCCGUUACAGGCCCCUCAGAACAGCUUCGGUGCUCCUUGGUUGGUCCGUUACAGGCCCCUCAGAACAGCUUCGGUGCUCCUUGGUUGGUCCGUUACAGGCCCCUCAGAACAGCUUCGGUGCUCCUUGGUUGGUCCGUUACAGGCCCCUCAGAACAGCUUCGGUGCUCCUUGGUAUAGAUUCUGCAAGUGUCUGGAUCGCUCCAGAAUCUCCCAUAAGUGUUCCGUUUGGGGGGGUUGAGAUCUGGUGGAUGGGGGGCGUAGCCAUGGUAACGCAGAUAAUGGCCCGCCCAGCAUGCCGACACAUGAUCCUCAGGAGAUAUGGGGCUGUUGAUAGCUUAAUAAUGGACUCAGGAACCACACCUGUGUGGAAGCACCUGCUUUCAAUAUACUCCGUAUCCCUCGUCAACUCCACGUGUUUCCGUUAUUCUGGCAGUUACCUGUUUCCGCUACGGGAAAGGUAAAUAAAUACGAAAGCUUCCGGAACAACGACUAACAUGUGACUAACCGUACGACGACCAUAUUUAGACAUUUAUAUAUCAACGCUGGUACUAUAAGAAGCUUCCGGAACAACGACUAACAUGUGACUAACCGUACGACGACCAUAUUUAGACAUUUAUAUAUCAACGCUGGUACUAUAAGAAGCUUCCGGAACAACGACUAUAAAACUAUAUUAUAUGUUGAUAUUGAUGAUCGUGUUUUAUAUGAAAGCUGAUACUAUAUUAUACGUUGGGGUUGGCAGGUAGCCUAGUGGUUAGAGCGUUGGACUAGCCGAAGUGGCCCCGAGCUGACAAGAGCUGAAACAUCUUGUUGUUCUGCCCCCUGAACAAAGCAGUUAACUCACUGUUCCCCCGGUAGGUCGUCACUGUAAAUAAGAAUUUGUUCUUAACUGACUUGCCCUAGUUAAUUAAACAUAUAUUUAACCAUUUUUAAGAUGAUGAAAGUAUUUUAUAUGAAAGGUUCUUUAAUCUGAUACAUUGAUGAAUAAGAGCUGGUAGGUAGCUGGGACUUGUUUCAGAAGACGAGAAAACUAUGGAACAACGAGCAAAUGUCUGAGGUCCACACAUUAUUACACCCAUGUUUUAAGGGAGAACAGACGUUGGUAUUGCACCCAUGUUUUAAGGGAGAACAGACGUUGGUAUUGCACCCAUGUUUUAAGGGAGAACAGACGUUGGUAUUGCACCCAUGUUUUAAGGGAGAACAGACGUUGGUAUUGCACCCAUGCUCCACCAAGGUUUUCCAGCUCACAGCUUUGACCCACUACAGUAUCUAUGUUGGUGUUUCUACUUCAAACUAUGUGUAGGCAGGUUGCUUAGGAUUCAAGAAGAUACAUUUCAAUCAACCAAUCAAAUCACAUGAAUAAAAUAAAUACACCAAUGAGACGCAGCGGUUGGUUCUUGUUGACGUGUUGUUUUAUAUUUCAUAUUCCAGCUUCAGCAUUUUACAAUAAAAUAUUAAAUGACAUGAAUUAUUUCACAUUAUAAGAGGAUUUACAGCCACUCUAAUGGAGGUCUCUCUAUUAUCUCUGUCCCUCUCUAUUAUCUCUGUCCCUCUGUCUCUCUCUCUCUCUCUGUCUAUUAUCUCUGUUUCUCUGUCUCUUUCUCUGUUUCUCUGUCUCUCUCUCUCUCUCUCUGUCUCUCUAUUCUCUCUGUUUCUCUCUGUCUGUCUCUCUGUUUCUGUCUCUCUCUCUGUCUCUCUCUCUCUCUCUCUCUAUUAUCUCUGUUUCUCUCUGUCUCUCUCUCUGUUUCUGUCUCUCUCUUUCUGUCUCUC
ensembl:lncRNA